CUGCCAUACCAUGCUGAAUAUACCGGUUCUCGUUAGAUCACCGAAGUCAAGCAUCAUUGGGCGCGGUCUGUACUUGGGUGGGUGACCA